CUUAAGGUGAAAGCAUGGUAACAUGUUUAGCUGAUAAGUACUAAUAGGUCGAGGGCUUGACCUAA
rnacentral:rRNA from 1 species